GUCGACGAUGAAGCCCAGCUUGCUGGGUGGAUUAGUGGCGAACGGGUGAGUAACACGUGAGUAACCUGCCCUUGACUCUGGGAUAAGCCCGGGAAACUGGGUCUAAUACCGGAUAGGAGCGCCUGUCGCAUGACGGGUGCUGGAAAGAUUUUUCGGUCAUGGAUGGACUCGCGGCCUAUCAGCUUGUUGGUGAGGUAAUGGCUCACCAAGGCGACGACGGGUAGCCGGCCUGAGAGGGUGACCGGCCACACUGGGACUGAGACACGGCCCAGACUCCUACGGGAGGCAGCAGUGGGGAAUAUUGCACAAUGGGCGGAAGCCUGAUGCAGCGACGCCGCGUGAGGGAUGACGGCCUUCGGGUUGUAAACCUCUUUCAGUAGGGAAGAAGCGGAAGUGACGGUACCUGCAGAAGAAGCACCGGCUAACUACGUGCCAGCAGCCGCGGUAAUACGUAGGGUGCGAGCGUUAUCCGGAAUUAUUGGGCGUAAAGAGCUCGUAGGCGGUUUGUCGCGUCUGUCGUGAAAGUCCGGGGCUUAACCCCGGAUCUGCGGUGGGUACGGGCAGACUAGAGUGCAGUAGGGGAGACUGGAAUUCCUGGUGUAGCGGUGGAAUGCGCAGAUAUCAGGAGGAACACCGAUGGCGAAGGCAGGUCUCUGGGCUGUAACUGACGCUGAGGAGCGAAAGCAUGGGGAGCGAACAGGAUUAGAUACCCUGGUAGUCCAUGCCGUAAACGUUGGGCACUAGGUG
rnacentral:rRNA from 1 species